rfam:Angiostrongylus costaricensis strain Costa Rica genome assembly, scaffold: ACOC_scaffold0002046
UCCGUUGUGGUCCAGUGGUUAGGAUUAACGGCUCUCACAAGUAGGGCCCGUGUUCGAUUCCCGGCAACGGAA